UCCCUGGUGGUCCAGGGUUAAGACUCUGUACUUCCAAUUCAGGGAACGUGGAUUCAAUCCAUAGUUGGGGAA
rnacentral:tRNA from 1 species